UAGGGAAUCUUCGGCAAUGGGGGGAACCCUGACCGAGCAACGCCGCGUGAGUGAAGAAGGUUUUCGGAUCGUAAAGCUCUGUUGUUAAGGAAGAACGAGUGUGAGAAUGGAAAGUUCAUGCUGUGACGGUACUUAACCAGAAAGGGACGGCUAACUACGUGCCAGCAGCCGCGGUAAUACGUAGGUCCCGAGCGUUGUCCGGAUUUAUUGGGCGUAAAGCGAGCGCAGGCGGUUAGAAAAGUCUGAAGUGAAAGGCAGUGGCUCAACCAUUGUAGGCUUUGGAAACUGUUUAACUUGAGUGCAGGAGAGAAAAGUGGAAUUCCUAGUGUAGCGGUGAAAUGCGUAGAGAUUAGGAGGAACACCGGUGGCGAAAGCGGCUUUUUGGCCUGCAACUGACACUGAGGCGCGAAAGCGUGGGGAGCAAACGGG
rnacentral:rRNA from 1 species